GGACUACUGGGGUAUCUAAUCCUGUUUGCUCCCCACGCUUUCGCGCCUCAGCGUCAGUUACAGACCAAAAAGCCGCCUUCGCCACUGGUGUUCCUCCACAUCUCUACGCAUUUCACCGCUACACGUGGAAUUCCGCUUUUCUCUUCUGCACUCAAGUUCCCCAGUUUCCAAUGACCCUCCACGGUUGAGCCGUGGGCUUUCACAUCAGACUUAAGAAACCGCCUGCGCGCGCUUUACGCCCAAUAAUUCCGGAUAACGCUUGCCACCUACGUAUUACCGCGGCUGCUGGCAC
rnacentral:rRNA from 1 species